GAAAGCGAAGGAGGGCAUGCGGGGGAUGCCUUGGCUCUUGCAGGCGAAGAAGGACGCGACAAGCUGCGAAAAGCUCCGGGGAGCGGCACAUGCGCCUUGAUCCGGAGAUGUCCGAAUGGGGGAACCCGCCGCGCGAAGAGCGCGGCACGCCGCAUAGUCGGCGGGCCUACCCGGGGAACUGAAACAUCUCAUUACCCGGAGGAAAAGAAAAUAAGAAUGAUUCCGCCAGUAGCGGCGAGCGAACGCGGAGGAGCCCAAACCGGCGGGGUCUUCGGGCCUUGGCCGGGGUUAUAGGACCGGCGCUGCCGGGGUUGCUGCCGAUAGCCGGAGGGUCUGGAACGGCCCGCCGUAGAGGGUGAAAGCCCCGUAGGCGAAAUUGGCGGCAACCUUGAAGCCGGCACCUGAGUAACCCGGGACACGAGGAAUCCCGGGCGAAUUAUCGGGGACCAUCCCGAAAGGCUAAAUACUGCGAGAGACCGAUAGCGCACGAGUACCGUGAGGGAAAGGUGAAAAGCACCUCGAACAGAGGAGUGAAACAGACCCUGAAACCGCAUGCCCGCAAGCGGUUGGAGCGGCCUUUUUGGCCGUGACAGCGUGCCUUUUGCAUAAUGAGCCUGCGAGUUGCCGUUGCCGGCGAGGCUAACCGCUUAGAGGCGGGGAUCCGAAGCGAAAGCGAGUCCGAACAGGGCGCUUAGUCGGCGGCGGCAGACGCGAAACCAAGUGAUCUACCCGAGGGCAGGCUGAAGGGGGGGUAACGCCCUCUGGAGGGCCGAACCGGUAAGCGUUGAAAAGCUUUCGGAUGACCUUCGGGUAGGAGUGAAAGGCCAAUCAAACUUGGAGAUAGCUCGUACUCCCCGAAAUGUAUUUAGGUGCAGCCUCGGGGUAGUCCGGGGGAGGUAGAGCGACUGAUAGGAUGCGAGGGCUUCACCGCCUGUCAAGUCCUGCCAAACUCCGAAUGCCUCCGGACGUUCCCCGGGAGUAAGGGCGCGGGUGCUAAGGUCCGCGUCCGAGAGAGGAACAACUCAGACCGCCGGCUAAGGUCCCGAAAUCCGGGCUAAGUUGAAGGCAAUAACGAGGUGCCGCCGCAGAGACAGCCAGGAUGUUGGCUUGGAAGCAGCCAUUCAUUCAAAGAGUGCGUAACAGCUCACUGGUCGAGCGGCGGCGCGUGGAUAAUAAUCGGGCAUAAGUCCGGUGCCGAAGCCGCGGGAUCCCUCAGGGGAUCGGUAGGGGAGCAUUCCAGCGGCGGCGAAUGCCGCGGGCGACCGCGGCUGGAGCUUCUGGAAAAGCAAAUGCAGGCAUAAGUAACGAUAAUGGAGGCGGGAAACCUCCACGCCGCAAGGCCAAGGGUUCCUGAUCAACGCUAAUCGGAUCAGGGCAAGCCGGGACCUAAGGCAAAGCCGGAAGGCGUAGCCGAAUGGACGAAACGGUCAAUAUUCCGUUGCCGGCUCCAUGGGCGACGCGGGGACGAAGGAGUGACACGGCCGCGGGCUGACGGAAAAGCCCGUUGAAGGGUGUAGCUUAUGGGGGCGCAGGCAAAUCCGCGCCUUUGGGCGAACCUGACAGUACCGCGAGGCUUCGGCCGGGCGGACAGCGCCGGUAAGCAUGCUUCCGAGAAAAACCGCUAAGCAUUAACCAUGGAGUCGCCCGUACCGAAACGGACACACGUGGCCGGGUAGAACAUACUAAGGCGCUCGAGAGACUCGCCGUCAAGGAACUAGGCAAAUUAGCCCCGUAACUUCGGGAAAAGGGGCCCCGGCUUUUUGCCGGGCGCAGGGAAUCGGUCCAGGCAACUGUUUACCAAAAACACAGGGCUGUGCCAAUUUGAAAGAAGCCGCAUACAGCCUGACACCUGCCCGGUGCCGGAAGGUUAAGAGGAGAGGUCAUCGCGAGAGAAGCCUUGAAUUGAAGCCCCGGUAAACGGCGGCCGUAACUAUAACGGUCCUAAGGUAGCGAAAUUCCUUGUCGGGUAAGUUCCGACCUGCACGAAUGGUGUAAUGAUCUGGACGCUGUCUCGACGGCGAGCUCGGUGAAAUUGUAGUAUCGGUGAAGAUGCCGAUUACCCGCAACGGGACGAAAAGACCCCGUGAACCUUUACUGCAGCUUAGCAUUGGGGACGGGCGCGCGAUGUGUAGGAUAGCCCGGAGGCUUUGAAGGCGGGGCGCCAGCCCUGUUGGAGCCGCCGUUGAAAUACGGGCCUUUGCGCGUUUGUCCUCUAACCCGCUGGAAGCGGGGACACUGCUUGGCGGGUAGUUUGACUGGGGUGGUCGCCUCCAAAAGCGUAACGGAGGCUUCUAAAGGUUCCCUCGGGCCGAUUGGUAACCGGCCUGUGAGUGCAAUGGCAGAAGGGAGCUUGACUGCGAGGGCGACAACCCGAACAGGUAGGAAACUAGAGCAUAGUGAUCCGGCGGUUCCGCAUGGAAGGGCCGUCGCUCAAAGGAUAAAAGGUACUCCGGGGAUAACAGGCUGAUCCCUCCCAAGAGCUCAUAUCGACGGAGUGGUUUGGCACCUCGAUGUCGGCUCGUCACAUCCUGGGGCUGGAGAAGGUCCCAAGGGUUGGGCUGUUCGCCCAUUAAAGUGGCACGCGAGCUGGGUUCAGAACGUCGUGAGACAGUUCGGUCUCUAUCUGUUGUGGGCGUUGGACUUUUGCGGGGCUCCGGCACUAGUACGAGAGGACCGUGCCGGACAGACCACCGGUGAGCCGGUUGUGCCGCCAGGCGCACGGCCGGGUAGCCGCGUCUGGGCAGGAUAAGCGCUGAAAGCAUCUAAGCGCGAAGCCGGCCCCAAGAUUAGAGGUCCUUUUCAGGGGCGUCGCAGACGACGACGUUGAUAGGCCGCAGGUGCAAAGUCAGCAAUGGCAAAGCCGAGCGGUACUAAUACCCCGAAAGCUUUCCGCG
rnacentral:rRNA from 1 species